rnacentral:rRNA from 1 species
ACGGGAGGCAGCAGUCGGGAAUAUUGCGCAAUGGAGGAAACUCUGACGCAGUGACGCCGCGUGCAGGAAGAAGGUUUUCGAAUUGUAAACUUCUUUAGACAGGGAAGAAAAAGGACAGUACCUGUAGAAUAAGCUCCGGCUAACUACGUGCCAGCAGCCCCGGUAAUACGUAGGGGGCGAGCGUUAUCCGGAUUUAUUGGGUGUAAAGAGUGCGUAGACGGAGUAGCAAGUUAGUUGUGAAAUCCCUUGGCUCAACUGAGGAACUGCAACUAAAACUACUACCCUUGAGUGCUGGAGGGGAAAGUGGAAUUCCUAGUGUAGCGGUGAAAUGCGUAGAUAUUAGGGGGGGCACCGGUGGCGAAGGCGACUUUCUGGACAGUAACUG